rnacentral:rRNA from 2 species
CACGUAGGAGGCGAGCGUUAUCCGGAUUUACUGGGUGUAAAGCGCGAGCAGGCGGUUUUGUAAGUUGGGUGUGAAAGCUCCUGGCUUAACUGGGAGAGGUCGCUCAAGACUGCAAGACUAGAGCAUGGUAGAGGAAGGUGGAAUUCCGGGUGUAGUGGUGAAAUGCGUAGAGAUCCGGAGGAACACCAGUGGCGAAAGCGGCCUUCUGGGCCAUGACUGACGCUCAGACGCGAAAGCCAGGGGAGCAAACGGG